rnacentral:rRNA from 1 species
UACGAGAGGUGCAAGCGUUAUUCGGAAUCAUUGGGCGUAAAGGGUGCGUAGACGGCAUAUUAAGUCAACUGUUAAAGAUCCUGGCCUAACUGGGAAAAUGCGGUAGAUACUGAUGUGCUAGAGGAUGGAAGAGAGAAGUGGAAUUCUCGGAGUAGCGGUAAAAUGCGUAGAUCUCGAGAGGAACACCGAUGGCGAAGGCAGCUUCUUGGUCCAUUCCUGACGUUGAGGCACGAAAGCGUGGGGAGCAAACAGG